rnacentral:rRNA from 1 species
UACGUAGGGUGCGAGCGUUGUCCGGAAUUACUGGGCGUAAAGAGCUCGUAGGUGGUUUGUCGCGUUGUUCGUGAAAUCUCACGGCUUAACUGUGAGCGUGCGGGCGAUACGGGCAGACUUGAGUACUGCAGGGGAGACUGGAAUUCCUGGUGUAGCGGUGGAAUGCGCAGAUAUCAGGAGGAACACCAAUAGCGAAGGCAGCUCGCUGGGACGUUACUGACACUGAGGCGCGAAAGCGUGGGGAGCGAACAGG